AGUGCUCCCUCAGUCCCUGGAGUUCCCAGCCAAGCCACAGACCUGCCUCUGAGGAAGGGAAUCGAGCAGGGAGUAGGAGGGGACCUCUGGGGACUCGGGCCUGGUGCCACGGCUUACCAAUGGAAGAUUAGGCCAGAUGGCUCCUGAGAGUGCUUUGGGAGAUUCUCUGUUCCUUCUGGGAAUGGCAGGGAUAGGAGGGGGUCCCAGAAGUUUGAACGCUUUGGCAUCCAAGAAAUCACACUCCAAAUACUGCUCUUCUGGCCUCCCCUGGGCUGCCUUCUCCAACCGUGUUCCUGGGAACCGAAGGGCAGAAAUUGCCCUCUUGGGCUUAUAAACAAGGAGCUCCUGCCUGCCUGGAUGAAGAGGAGGUCAAGACUUUGUCCCCCACUCCGCAAGAUACCCUCUCUGUUCCGGAGCGGUGGGUCCCUCCCCUGUUAGGACCUUGUCUCCCUCAGGACUGGACCUGGAUCCUGGGCCUGCAGUCAGAUUGCCAGUUUCACUUAGAGGUGGAAAUGUCAACCCACUGGUUGGAAUGGGAAGGUGAGACAGGAUUUCACCAUGUUAGCCAGGAUGGUCUUGAUCUCCUGACCUCAUGAUCUGCCCACCUCGGCCUCCCAAAGUGCUGGGCUUACAGGCGUGAGCCACCGUGCCCGGCCAAAAAUAACUUUUAAAAACAUGAGUAUAGCAUACACACACACAAAAGUCCACAAAUCCUAGGUGUACCACUUGAUGAAUGAUCCCAACGUGAGCACACCUCUGGAUUACCACCUGGAUCAAGAAAUAGGACAUCACAGCAGCUGGCAGCUUCCAAGGAGAAGCUCUGGAAAGUUCUGCCUGUCUCAGCACCUGGCUGGAUCGGAAACGAGUUUUCUUUAACCAGAUUUUUAAUGACUGACUUAUGUGGACAAAUCAUAACUGAAUGAAUCACCUCCUUUGUUGAUUUUUUUGGGUACUUUAUUUGCUAUUAUAAAUGAUGCUGUAAUAAGCACCCUUGAAGAAAUCUUCAUAUCUGCCUCUCCUGUGUAGCAGGUCACAGUGCCUGGGUUUGGUUCUAGCCCUCAUUUGUGAACUGUGUGACUCACCAUGCCUUUUUUCUUUCUGUAAGACAGGAAUAAUGGUAAGAAUUUAAAUGGGGGUAAUAUGGAGCGCGUUUAGUUCAGAGCCUGGUGCAUACAAGCACUCAAUAAGUACUGGCGAUUAUUAGACCUUUAGAUUAAUUUAUUAGAAGUUGGAUUUCUGGUGAAAGGGUUUGAGUGUUUUUGAGGCUUUGGCACAGAAUACCCAGCUGGUCCCAGAAAGGUGGUUCCCAUUUACCUGCCCGAAGGUAAUUCACCCUUACUGAUACUGAGUACUGUUUUCUAAAAGAACAUUAAAAAUUGGAUAGGUUAAAAACAGGUGAAUACAUUUUUUUAGUUGCAUUUUUUUGGUUACCCGUGAGAGUGAACAUGUUGCCAUGUGUUUGCUGACCUCCUAAAUGGUCUAUUUGCUCCUACCUUUGUACCCCAAAAGUCUGCUCUCAAGAUGGUAGCCAGAAUGAUCCUUUUUGAGACAUAAGUCAAAAUUUCACUCUUCUCCUUAAAGCUCUGCAAUGGUUCUCAGGUUAAAAGCCAAAGUCCUGUUCAAGGCCUCCAGGGUCCUCACCACUUGGUCCCUUGCUCUUUCUGUUCUAGCCAACUUGGCCUUCUCCUGCCCCUCCGCCGCACCAUGGCAAUUUCCCCUGCUCUGUGUGGUCAACUACCUGAAUCUGUUCAAAGCUUUGCUCAAAUGUCUCCUUCCUGAUGAGACCUCCCCAGCCCCUGAGCUCCCCAUGCCUCACUCCUGAUCGCCUUACUUAACCCUUCUUUUUCUUUUUUGCCAGUAGUACUUAUCACCGUCUAAAAUACUUCAUAAUUUACUUGUUUAUUGUUUGCCCCUCUCCAAUAGAAUGUAAGCUCCUUGGGGCAGGGACCUUUGUCCUUUGUCUUGUUCACUGCUGUGUCCCAUGUGUAAACUUGUCUGGCACAGAAGAGGUGCUCGAUAAAUAUUUGUUGAGUGAAUGAAUGGUAAAUUUUCUGUUCAUAUUCUUUGACUAUUUUCUAUUGUAAUGUUCAUCUUUUUAGUAUUGGUUUAUAAGAUGUAUAUUUAGCACCUUUUCAUAUAUCACUCUUUGUCACAUAUUAUGCAACUAAUUUGUCAUUUCCAUCAAUUUUUAAAAUACUUUCUUGAUGCUUCAUUUUUAAGCUGUCAGAUUAUUAAUCUUUUCUUUAUGGUCUUGGACUUUAUUGUUGCAUAACCGCUGCCUUCACCAGGAACAUAUAAAUUUUCAAUUAAAUGUUCUUCUGAGAUUUUAUGAUUUCACUUUUUAUAUUAAACUCUUCAUUUUGUCUUCAUGUGUGGUGAGAGGUAAGAACAUAACUUUAAAGCAAAUUAACCAACUAUCCCCAAAUGAAUUAUAAAUAAAUUAAUCAUUUUCCAAUGAUCUGAAAGGCCAUUUUAUCAUACACUAAAUAUUUUUGUGUGUUUGACUGGGUUUACCGUUCUGUUCCGUUGGCCUAUCACAUCGUUCUUACAUUGGUAUUUGUUGCCCUAUUUUAAUGAUUGUAACUUUUUAAUAAGGGUUAAUGACUGAGAAUACAAGUCCCAUUGUUUUGUUUUAUUAUUUUUAUUAUUUUUUUGAGACAGGGUUUCACUCUGUCACCCAGGCUGGAGUAUAGUAGCACUAUCUCGGCUCAUUGCAACCUCUGCCUCCCUGGUUCAAGUGAUUCUCCCACCUCAACCUCCCGAGUAGCUGGGACUACAGAUGCAUGCCACCACACCCAGCUAAUUCUUGUAUUUUUAGUAGAGACAGGGUUUCACCAUGUUGACCAGGCUGGUCUUGAACUCCUGGCUUCAAGUGAUUCACCUGCCUCGAC
rnacentral:lncRNA from 1 species